rnacentral:rRNA from 1 species
UUACCAUUAAUUGCCAUCAUUCAGUUGGGCACGUUUAAUGGGACUGCCGGUGACAAACCCGGGAGGAAGGUGGGGAUGACGUCAAGUCCUCAUGGCCCUUAUGGGUAGGGCUUCACACGUCAUACAAUGGUCGGUACAGAGGGUUGCCAAGCCGCGAGGUGGAGCUAAUCUCAUAAAGCCGAUCGUAGUCCGGAUCGCAGUCUGCAACUCGACUGCGUGAAGUCGGAAUCGCUAGUAAUCGUGGAUCAGCAUGCCACGGUGAAUACGUUCCCGGGUCUU